UUCUACUUAUUUUUAUUUUUUUUCUUGCAACAAAAUUUUGUCCGCGCGAGUUCUUGGAUUCCAAUGGACCAAUGUUGAUGGAACUCUACUAUAAUGAAGACCCCCAUGUGAAGUUGUGCACCUGGCUAUGGAAUGGUAAAAUAUGGCCGCCGUUUCCAUGCAAACUGCACAAUUAUGAAAAAAUCUAGAUUUUGAUUUUGGUGAAUUAAUACGUUAUGCUUUAACUCAGAAUCAUUAUAUUUUAAUACAAUGUAGGUGCCCACUAUAUACAGGUGUUGGAUGAUUUUGGCAUUCAUUGGAACUACUAUGUUGCCAUGGAAACUACACCAAAAAUUUCAAAAAUCUCUGAAUGCUCCAAACUUCAUGAAACUUCACAGUAACGAUGAGCAACAUUGGAAGAUGUGCCAUUUGGAGUUGGAAUUUCCAAAAUGUCUGUAGUUACCAUGGAAACAAUGCGAAAAGAUCAAAACAUUAAAAAAUGAAUAAAAAUCCUGCAAACUGGAUGAAACUUAACAAAAAUGGUCACUGGCAUAAGCAGAGUUGACUUUUGAAGUUGGAAUUUUCAAAAUGGCCGCCGUAACCAUGGAAACAUCAAAAAUGUCCAAAAUUUCAAAAUGCUCCAAUUUUCAUUAAAUUUUACAAAAAUGAUAAUUUGAAUGUGUAGAUGCACUCUUUGACUUUGGAAUCUUCUAGUUUUCUGCUGCUCGCCUGGCAAUUGGGGAAGGGUGCCAUCCGCUAUUGCUUGCAAUGGCAAAUCUAGUU
rnacentral:lncRNA from 1 species